rnacentral:rRNA from 1 species
GACGUAGGGCGCGAGCGUUGUCCGGAUUUAUUGGGCAUAAAGAGCUCGUAGGCGGCUUGUCGCGUCGUCCGUGAAAACUUGGGGCUCAACCCCAAGCUUGCGGUCGAUACGGGCAGGCUCGAGUUCGGUAGGGGAGACUGGAAUUCCUGGUGUAGCGGUGAAAUGCGCAGAUAUCAGGAGGAACACCGGUGGCGAAGGCGGGUCUCUGGGCCGAUACUGACGCUGAGGAGCAAAAGCGUGGGGAGCGAACAGG